CCUACUGGAGUCUGCAAGUUUAACAGAAUUACGAUUGAAAAUAUUCCUGUGGUUGCGCGGGAAAAAUAGUAUGUCAUCUUGAAAGAGGGGACUGAUUUUCUUAGAAUUUGAGUAGUUGUUUAUUGCUGUUGUUCUGGUUGGCUGCAGACGAUUCCAGUUUUUUUUUUUUUUUUUUUUUUUAAGAUUGGCUAAAUUUUAAUUUAUUGAUGUUUGAGGCAAGGCAAAAGUGAAUUAGAGGCGUUCCAAAUUUUGAGCGUCACCGUAAUUUCUCACAACAAAUUCAAGAUGACCAUAUUAGGGCUUUCAUAGCACAAACCACACCUCACCCCUCAAGACUGCUUUGUUUGAAUUCAUUCCCCCAAAACAACGGAAAUAGAAAACUUAUACAACGCAUGUUUUCUACUAAGACAGAUGUUGUGAUCCGUAAUAGCAUGAGAUCGCUAAAGGCGCAGUGUUCUCGCUAAUGGAACACCGUUUUAUUGAAUGAUUCUUCGCAUGCCUUUUGUAUAAAAAUGUAAAAAAAAAAAAAAAAAAAAAAAAAAAAAAAUAAAAGGAGAACAAAUAAUAUACAGCACAGCCAUAAAAAAUAUACAGAAAUUGUUUUUCAAACAAAUUUUUUUGUAUCACCAAAAAAAUAUAGAAAAUUACUAUAAAAUAAGUGGAUUUUAAUAGCACAUCAUAAAUGAACAUUCUAGGACUCUUUGUGAUAUGCUGCCAUCGAUUAUUUAAAAAGAGAAGUUCGAAGUAUAUUAUAAAGGCGCUUUCAUCCAUUUAUGGUUGAAUUUAACGGUUUCAGAAGCGAUUCAAGUUGGGUGUUCCAACUAGUGGAACAGUGAGCAACAAAGGAUUAGAAAAACUGUCCGGUAGCUUCCCGAGUCUCACGGACUGUUGUGUAUGCUGCUUCCUUUUUCUUCAUUCUCUUGUUUCAACAAAAUCGUUUGAACAGGGAUAACAUUUAAGGCCAAAUGCCACGAAGGCUUGAUAGCUUGCCACGAAGAAUUUCAUAGGCUUGGGCUGAUGUUACAGUCAGACAAGUGAGCAUAAGUAACAACGACAACAUAUGUUACUUAAGAUCUUUGAAUUUUCUUUCAAAUUACAAGUGCUUAAUAAAAUCUCUGGAAGGAGCCAGAUAGAUGAGAAGAAAAACAAAAUUCUAUUUUUAGAUUCAAGUACAGAUGAAGAAUCUUUGCAUCCAGAGAAUGUCUGCAUGUGCAUACUUAACUUUUAGGUUAGAAAUAAUAGUUUUAGAUGAGAAUGUGUGUAAAGGAUUGGCCUCGCAUUAGAGUUAGAAAUUAGAAUUAAAUGUUCUCAACAAAGUCGUUUAAACCUUAUUUUCGAACUAUUUAAUUCUGGCAGGGGCCCACCAGCGGCCGAGCGGUAAAGUCGUUGAACACUGGUAGUUCGGUCCGAGGUUCGAAUCCCGCGAACGUGCUGGCUGCAUGGGUGUUUUCGUGGUUUUCCCCAU